CUCCGGUCUACUGCAGUCGACGAGUCUCCAUUUGAUUUUAUGCUUGCAUAAAUGAUUUUUGGAUUCGGGACGAGUGGCGAACUGGUGAGUAACACGUGGGUAACCUGCCCUGAAGUAGGGGAUAACAUUUGGAAACAGAUGCUAAUACCGUAUAAUUAGUUGGAACCACAUGGUUCCAACUUGAAAGAUGGCUCUGCUAUCACUUUAGGAUGGACCCGCGGCGUAUUAGCUAGUUGGUGAGAUAAAAGCUCACCAAGGCGAUGAUACGUAGCCGACCUGAGAGGGUAAUCGGCCACAUUGGGACUGAGACACGGCCCAGACUCCUACGGGAGGCAGCAGUAGGGAAUCUUCCACAAUGGACGAAAGUCUGAUGGAGCAACGCCGCGUGAGUGAAGAAGGGUUUCGGCUCGUAAAACUCUGUUGUUAAAGAAGAACAAGUGUAAGAGUAACUGUUUACGCUUUGACGGUAUUUAACCAGAAAGCCACGGCUAACUACGUGCCAGCAGCCGCGGUAAUACGUAGGUGGCAAGCGUUGUCCGGAUUUAUUGGGCGUAAAGCGAGCGCAGGUGGUUCUUUUAAGUCUGUUGUGAAAGCCCUCAGCUCAACUGAGGAAGUGCAGCGGAAACUAAAGGACUUGAGUACAGAAGAGGAUAGUGGAACUCCAUGUGUAGCGGUGAAAUGCGUAGAUAUAUGGAAGAACACCAGUGGCGAAGGCGGCUAUCUGGUCUGUUACUGACACUGAGGCUCGAAAGCAUGGGUAGCGAACAGGAUUAGAUACCCUGGUAGUCCAUGCACGUAAACGAUGAAUACUAGGUGUUGGAGGGUUUCCGCCCUUCAGUGCCGCAGCUAACGCAUUAAGUAUUCCGCCUGGGGAGUACGACCGCAAGGUUGAAACUCAAAGGAAUUGACGGGGGCCCGCACAAGUGGUGGAGCAUGUGGUUUAAUUCGAUGCUACGCGAAGAACCUUACCAGGUCUUGACAUCUUCUGCCAACCUAAGAGAUUAGGCGUUCCCUUCGGGGACAGAAUGACAGGUGGUGCAUGGUUGUCGUCAGCUCGUGUCGUGAGAUGUUGGGUUAAGUCCCGCAACGAGCGCAACCCUUAUUAUUAGUUGCCAGCAUUAAGUUGGGCACUCUAGUGAGACUGCCGGUGAUAAACCGGAGGAAGGUGGGGAUGACGUCAAAUCAUCAUGCCCCUUAUGACCUGGGCUACACACGUGCUACAAUGGAUGGUACAACGAGUCGCGAAACCGCGAGGUCAAGCUAAUCUCUUAAAGCCAUUCUCAGUUCGGAUUGCAGGCUGCAACUCGCCUGCAUGAAGUUGGAAUCACUAGUAAUCGUGGAUCAGCAUGCCACGGUGAAUACGUUCCCGGGCCUUGUACACACCGCCCGUCACACCAUGAGAGUUGUAACACCCAAAGACGAUGGAGUAACUCGGAGCUUAGGUGUUUAAAUGGGGA
rnacentral:rRNA from 1 species